rnacentral:rRNA from 1 species
CUACGGGCGGCAGCAGUGGGGAAUAUUGCGCAAUGGGCGAAAGCCUGACGCAGCAACGCCGUGUGAGGGAUGAAGGCUUUCGGGUCGUAAACCACUGUCAGAAGGGAAGAACGGGUAUUGGUCUAAUAGGCCUUUAUUUUGACGGUACCUUCAGAGGAAGCACCGGCUAACUCCGUGCCAGCAGCCGCGGUAAUACGGAGGGUGCAAGCGUUAUUCGGAAUUACUGGGCGUAAAGCGCACGUAGGCCGCUUUGUAAGUCAGGGGUGAAAUCCCACGGCUCAACCGUGGAACUGCCUUUGAAACUGCAGAGCUUGAAUCCUGGAGAGGGUGGCGGAAUUCCUGGUGUAGGAGUGAAAUCCGUAGAUAUCAGGAGGAACACCGGUGGCGAAGGCGGCCACCUGGACAGGUAUUGACGCUGAGGUGCGAAAGUGUGGGGAGCAAACAGGAUUAGAUACCCGGGUAGUC